AGCUCAUUAUUUAAUGUGAAAUAGUUCAUGUCAACUGACAGAGAGAGAAAGAGAUGUAUUUGACAAGUUUGGCCACACUUAUCAGAAUAGAGAACAGAAUAAUGAAUAUAUAGUUUAAUGACAAGACUAUUUUAUGUUGUAUUAUCUGGCAAGGGUUUACACUAUUGACACAAUCUUAAAGAGUGAGUCGACCUUAUUGAAGUUGAAAAGGAGGCUUCAGAAAAUCAGAGGAAGAAUUCAAGAGGCACAGGUGGCAAUGAAAACCAUAACAACAAAAGCAAGCAUAAUGUAUCCAAAAAAAGAAAAAGGAGUAAAUAAAUGAAAAUUUUAUUUAUUAAGAUAUAGUAUAUAGAAUUAAUCAGGUAUAAGCUCUUUUGGUUGAAUUUUAUAUACUGAUAGAACUAAUCAAUUUUAUAAUGAUAAUUUU